AUUGAACGCUGGCGGCAGGCCUAACACAUGCAAGUCGAGCGGAUGAAGGGGGCUUGCUCCUGGAUUCAGCGGCGGACGGGGGAGUAAUGCCUAGGAAUCUGCCUGGUUGUGGGGGAUAAUGUCCGGAAACGGGCGCUAAUACCGCAUACGUCCUGAUGGAGAAAGUGGGGGAUCUUCGGACCUCACGCUAUCAGAUGAGCCUAGGUCGGAUUAGCUAGUUGGUGGGGUAAAGGCCUACUAAGGCGACGAUCCGUAACUGGUGUGAGAGGAUGAUCAGUCACAUUGGAACGUGAACACGGUCCAGAGUACUACGGGAGGCAGCAGUGGGGAAUAUUGGACAGUGGGCGAAAGCCUGAUCCAGCCAUGCCGCGUGUGUGAAGAAGGUCUUCGGAUUGUAAAGCACGUUAAGUGGGGAUGAAGGGCAGUAAGUUAAUACCUUGCUGUUUUGACGUUACCAACAGAAGAAGCACCGGCUAACUUCGUG
rnacentral:rRNA from 1 species